UACGUAGGGGGCGAGCGUUGUCCGGAUUUAUUGGGCGUAAAGAGCUCGUAGGCGGUUUGGUAAGUCGGAUGUGAAAUCUCCAGGCUCAACCUGGAGGGGUCAUUCGAUACUGAUCGACUCGAAGGCAGGAGAGGGUAGUGGAAUUCCCGGUGUAGUGGUGAAAUGCGUAGAUAUCGGGAGGAACACCAGUGGCGAAGGCGACUACCUGGCCUGUUCUUGACGCUGAGGCGCGAAAGCUAGGGGAGCAAACGGGG
rnacentral:rRNA from 1 species